rnacentral:rRNA from 1 species
UCGGGUUGAUUCCCGGUAGUACGUCUGGUUGAGGGUCAAUGAA